rnacentral:rRNA from 1 species
ACGGAGGGUGCAAGCGUUAAUCGGAAUCACUGGGCGUAAAGCGCGCGUAGGCGGUCUUUUAAGUCGGACGUGAAAGCCCUCGGCUCAACCGGGGAACUGCGUUCGAAACUGGGAGACUUGAGUCCUGGAGAGGGUGGCGGAAUUCCGGGUGUAGGAGCGAAGUCCGUAGAUACCGGGAGGAACGCCGGUGGGGAAGGCGGCCACCUAGAAAGGGACUGACGCGGAGGCGCGAAAGCGUGGGGAGGGAGGAG